UGCCGUGCACUCUAGGGAGACCGCCGGCGAUAAGCUGGAGGAAGGUGGGGAUGACGUCAAGUCCUCAUGGCCCUUAUGUCCCGGGCUACACACACGCUACAAUGGCCUGAACAAAGGGUUGCAAGACCGCGAGGUGGAGCUAAUCCCAAAAAUCAGGCCUCAGUUCAGAUUGCAGGCUGCAACUCGCCUGCAUGAAGACGAAGUUGCUAGUAACCGCAGGUCAGCUAUACUGCGGUGAAUACGUUCUCGGGGGCUU
rnacentral:rRNA from 1 species